rnacentral:tRNA from 1 species
GGAGGGGUUCCCGAGUGGCCAAAGGGGGCAGACUGUAAAUCUGCUGGCACAGCCUUCGAUGGUUCGAAUCCAUCUCCCUCCACCA